UACGGAGGGUGCGAGCGUUAUCCGGAUUUACUGGGCGUAAAGCGCGUGUAGGUGGUUUGGUAAGUAGGGCGUGAAAGCUCCUGGCUCAACUGGGAGAGGCCGUUCUAAACUGCCGAACUAGAGGAUGGUAGAGGGAGGUGGAAUUCCGGGUGUAGCGGUGGAAUGCGCAGAUAUCCGGAGGAACACCAGUGGCGAAAGCGGCCUCCUGGACCAUUCCUGACACUCAGACGCGAAAGCUAGGGUAGCAAACGGG
rnacentral:rRNA from 1 species